rnacentral:rRNA from 1 species
CAGCAGCCACGGUAAUACGUAGGGUGCGAGCGUUAAUCGGAAUUACUGGGCGUAAAGCGUGCGCAGGCGGUUCGUUAAGACAGAUGUGAAAUCCCCGGGCUUAACCUGGGAACUGCAUUUGUGACUGGCGAGCUAGAGUAUGGCAGAGGGGGGUAGAAUUCCACGUGUAGCAGUGAAAUGCAUAGAGAUGCGGAGGAAUACCGAUGGCGAAGGCAGCCCCCUGGGUCAAUACUGACGCUCAUGCACGGAAGCGUGGGGAGCAAACAGGAUUAGAUACCCGUGUAGUCCCUGUCUCUUAUAC